AGUGAACGCUGGCGGCGUGCCUAAUACAUGCAAGUCGAACGGAGUGGCGCACGGGUGAGUAAUAUAUAGCUAAUCUGCCCCUUGCUGGAGGACAACAGUUAGAAAUGACUGCUAAUACUCCAUAGAAAGGGAUGAGACUAUAUCGUAUCAGCUAGUCGGGUGGGUAAUGGCCUACCGAGGCUAUGACGCGUAACAGGUCUGAGAGGAUGAGCAGUUACAUUGGAAGUGAGGCACGGUCCAAGCUCCUACGGGAUGCAACAGUAGGGAAUAUUGCGCAAGGGGGGAAACCCUGACGCAGCAUCGCCGCGUGAAGGAUGACACUUUUCGGAGCGUAAACUCCUUUUGUUAGGGAAGCGGUACCUAACGAAUAAGCACCGGCUAACUCCGUGCCAGCAGCCGCGGUAAUUC
rnacentral:rRNA from 1 species